UAAUCCGGGUUGCGGACAGUGUCUGGUGGGUAGUUUGACUGGGGCGGUCUCCUCCUAAAGAGUAACGGAGGAGCACGAAGGUUGGCUAAUCCUGGUCGGACAUCAGGAGGUUAGUGCAAUGGCAUAAGCCAGCUUGACUGCGAGCGUGACGGCGCGAGCAGGUGCGAAAGCAGGUCAUAGUGAUCCGGUGGUUCUGAAUGGAAGGGCCAUCGCUCAACGGAUAAAAGGUACUCCGGGGAUAACAGGCUGAUACCGCCCAAGAGUUCAUAUCGACGGCGGUGUUUGGCACCUCGAUGUCGGCUCAUCACAUCCUGGGGCUGAAGUAGGUCCCAAGGGUAUGGCUGUUCGCCAUUUAAAGUGGUACGCGAGCUGGGUUUAGAACGUCGUGAGACAGUUCGGUCCCUA
rnacentral:rRNA from 2 species